rnacentral:rRNA from 1 species
GUUUAUGACCAUAUCACAUUGAAAGCACCAGUUCUUAUUUGAUCACCGAAGUUAAGCAAUGUCAAGCCUAGUGAUUACUUAGAUGCGUGACCGCUUGGAAAACCUAGGUGCUAUAAGUG